GCAAACAGUACCCGUGAUGGUUCCCAAAGCGCCGAAAAUGCGUCUGGGAUGAAAAGGGAAUACGGUGAGGAAGAGCCAAAGCGCGCCAAAUCCGUAACUGCCCCCGCAACUGUGAGCGGCGAGCGACCCCGAUGAUCACCACUGAGCAAACGCUCGGGAAGGGAUCGGGCAAGCAGCGACCCGCGAAGUCAGGAGACCUGCCAUCAAAGGGCGUCGAAAU
rnacentral:ncRNA from 15 species